rnacentral:rRNA from 1 species
UACGUAGGGGGCAAGCGUUGUCCGGAAUCAUUGGGCGUAAAGCGCGUGUAGGCGGCCCGGUAAGUCCGCUGUGAAAGUCGGGGGCUCAACCCUCGAAUGCCGGUGGAUACUGUCGGGCUAGAGUGCGGAAGAGGCGAGUGGAAUUCCUGGUGUAGCGGUGAAAUGCGCAGAUAUCAGGAGGAACACCAAUUGCGAAGGCAGCUCGCUGGGACGUGACUGACGCUGAGGAGCGAAAGUGUGGGGAGCAAACAGG